UUUUCUUUUCUGAAAUGGAGGAUUUGGAGGCUUACAGCAGGAGAAGAUCUGCAGGCUGAGCAGGGGAAAUCCAGAAAAAGUCAAGCCAGCAAAAAAUGCAGGCAGCGCAGGCUGUGCCCUGUGCAAGGGGUGGACAGCAGCAGGAUCGUGUCCCACCCUUGGCACCCCAGGAUGCACAAGGGUGCAGAAGCACCAGGAGAACCUUGAGGAAUGCGAGGUGCAGGAAAGAAAUGUUCCAAUUUUUUCUCCCAGGAAGAAGAACUCGAAAGCAACCAGCCCAGUUUUGCCAACUUUUACCAGUUCACCAGGCAGUCAGGUAUAACUUUGGGGUCACCAACCACAAGGGACCACCACGUGACUCCCAGGACAGAAGAACACAUACAUAAAGGAGAGGGAAAAUAUGUUAAUGGUUUUGGGGAACUUAAGAUCAUAUGUAUGUUUAUACUGGGAAAAUCAAUGAGCAUGUAUGUAAAAUAUAGUACAUAAAUAGGAGCUUUUUUUGUACUCAGCAUGCAUGAUAUUUUGAAGGAGAUACCCCCUUGUGCAUCCAGCCAAAUAAAGAAUGUCUGCUUCUUAACGCUA